rnacentral:rRNA from 1 species
GAUGAACGCUGGCGGCGUGCUUAACACAUGCAAGUCGAACGGAAAGGCCCAAGCUUGCUUGGGUACUCGAGUGGCGAACGGGUGAGUAACACGUGGGUGAUCUGCCCUGCACUUCGGGAUAAGCCUGGGAAACUGGGUCUAAUACCGGAUAGGACGAUGGUUUGGAUGCCGUUGUGGAAAGUUUUUUCGGUGUGGGAUGAGCUCGCGGCCUAUCAGCUUGUUGGUGGGGUGAUGGCCUACCAAGGCGUCGACGGGUAGCCGGCCUGAGAGGGUGUACGGCCACAUUGGGACGGAGAUACGGCCCAGAGUCCCACGGGAGGGAGCAGUGGGGAAUAUUGCACAAUGGGCGCAAGACUGAGGCAGCGACGCCGCGUGGGGGAUGACGGCCUUCGGGUUGUAAACUCCGCUCGCUAGUGACGAAGCGUGUUUGUGACGGUACCUGGAGAAGAAGCACCGGCUAACUACGUG